GUGGGGAAUAUUGGACAAUGGGCGCAAGCCUGAUCCAGCAAUGCCGCGUGGGUGAAGAAGGUCUUCGGAUCGUAAAGCCCUUUCGACAGGGACGAUGAUGACGGUACCUGUAGAAGAAGCCCCGGCUAACUUCGUGCCAGCAGCCGCGGUAAUACGAAGGGGGCUAGCGUUACUCGGAAUUACUGGGCGUAAAGGGCGCGUAGGCGGCUCUGUUAGUCAGGCGUGAAAUUCCUGGGCUUAACCUGGGGACUGCGCUUGAUACUGCAGGGCUUGAGACCGAGAGAGGGUGGUGGAAUUCCCAGUGUAGAGGUGAAAUUCGUAGAUAUUGGGAAGAACACCGGUGGCGAAGGCGACCACCUGGCUCGGUUCUGACGCUGAGGCGCGACAGCGUGGGGAGCAAACAGGAUUAGAUACCCGGGUAGUCC
rnacentral:rRNA from 1 species